UACAGAGGUCUCAAGCGUUGUUCGGAUUCAUUGGGCGUAAAGGGCGCGUAGGCGGCCAGCACAAGUCAGUUGUGAAAUCUCCGAGCUUAACUCGGAAAGGUCAACUGAUACUGUGCGGCUAGAGUGCGGAAGGGGCAACUGGAAUUCUUGGUGUAGCGGUGAAAUGCGUAGAUAUCAAGAGGAACACCUGCGGCGAAGGCGGGUUGCUGGGCCGACACUGACGCUGAUGCGCGAAAGCUAGGGGAGCGAACGGG
rnacentral:rRNA from 1 species